GACGAACGCUGGCGGCGUGCCUAAUACAUGCAAGUCGAGCGGAUGAAGGAAGCUUGCUUCCCGAUUCAGCGGCGGACGGGUGAGUAAUGCCUAGGAAUCUGCCUAUUAGUGGGGGAUAACUCGGGGAAACUCGGGCUAAUACCGCAUACGUCCUACGGGAGAAAGUGGGGGAUCUUCGGACCGCACGCUAAUAGAUGAGCCUAGGUCGAAUUAGCUAGUUGGUGAGGUAACGGCUCACCAAGGCGACGAUCCGUAGCUGGUCUGAGAGGAUGAUCAGCCACACUGGAACUGAGACACGGUCCAGACUCCUACGGGAGGCAGCAGUGGGGAAUAUUGGACAAUGGGCGAAAGCCUGAUCCAGCCAUGCCGCGUGUGUGAAGAAGGUCUUCGGAUUGUAAAGCACUUUAAGUUGGGAGGAAGGUCUGUAAGCUAAUAUCUUGCAGUCUUGACGUUACCAACAGAAUAAGCACCGGCUAACUCUGUGCCAGCCGCCGCCGUAACAC
rnacentral:rRNA from 1 species